UCCACAGUAGCUCAGUGGUAGAGCUAUCGGUUGUUAACCGAUCGGUCGUAGGUUCGAGUCCUACCUGUGGAGCCA
rnacentral:tRNA from 3 species